rnacentral:rRNA from 1 species
AUUGAACGCUGGCGGCAGGCCUAACACAUGCAAGUCGAGCGGAUGAAGGGAGCUUGCUCCUGGAUUCAGCGGCGGACGGGUGAGUAAUGCCUAGGAAUCUGCCUGGUAGUGGGGGAUAACGUCCGGAAACGGGCGCUAAUACCGCAUACGUCCUGAGGGAGAAAGUGGGGGAUCUUCGGACCUCACGCUAUCAGAUGAGCCUAGGUCGGAUUAGCUAGUUGGUAGGGUAAAGGCCUACCAAGGCGACGAUCCGUAACUGGUCUGAGAGGAUGAUCAGUCACACUGGAACUGAGACACGGUCCAGACUCCUACGGGAGGCAGCAGUAGGGAAUAUUCGACAAUGGGCGAAAGCCUGAUCCAGCAACGCCGCGUGAGUGAAGAAGGUCUUCGGAUUGUAAAACUCUUUAAGUAGGGAGGAACAGAAGUAAGAUUAACUGUUGCUAUCUUGACGUUACCAAAAAAGAAAGCCACGGCUAACUUCGUG